rnacentral:lncRNA from 1 species
UAUAUAUGAGGCAGAGGAUAUAUGACCCAUGAAUUAUAGAUAUUUUAAUGCAAUAUGUUGCCAUAUUGCAAAAAGGAUCAAUGGAGAAGGGAAUAUACCAAGAAUUCUGAUUUUGUUUCAAAAGUUCUCCACGUUGGUCAUCAUUAAUAUUGCUGAAUUUCCCUUCUUCUUCCAUAAUUGACUUAUUUUUAAUUUCCUUGUACGUGCUAUUUGAAGCAUGUCAUGGCAGCUUUCACUUUGGUAGGGCAUAACUCCAAUAUAUAUUUUUCAAAAAAUUGAGAAAUCGUUAUUUAUUAAAGUAUCACUAAUUAUGAUCAAUUAUGAGAUCAAACUCUUACCAUACAUCAUAGACCACUUGCUUAACUAUAAUCUUCAAUAUUGGAGUACUUGCUUAUUUCAUUCUCAAGAAUAUAACAUGUUCCCCCCACUUAGGAGAUUUUAGCUAGGCCCUAGCAAUAUUUCACAAAGAUUCUUGUUACCCUUAUGCAUAUAUGUUUUAUUUUGUAAAGUCAUUACCUGGUAUCAUUAUGCAUGUGUUUCUAUCAAUCAUUGUUAUUGCUCCCUUUUCUGACUCCAAUUGUGCUUUCAUUUUCUUGGGGACCAAUGGUGGGUCAUCAUUGAUGAGGCUUUAGUAAUGGCUAUUUAUUAGUGUCACUAACAAUACGUUCAACAUGCUUCAUAGAAGGUAUAUUAUUGAAAAUUUAUUGGAGUCUCCAAUUGUCAUGGUCUUUCAAUUAAGCAAUGCAUAUGUGGCCAAAUUCAUUUUAUGAGCUAGUUUUUAAGAGUGGGAUCUAAAUCCAUUUCAUGGUAUCAGAGCUGGAUUUUGCAGGGCAUGUAAGAAUUGGACCUAGUCACAUCGUGUGAAAGUGGAUACUGAAGUUAUAUUUGAGUCUCACAUUGUCAAAGUGUAUGAGUUAGUUUUUAAGAGUAAGAUCCAAAUUCAUUUAACACAUGUAUACCACGACAACAAAACUUAAAACUACUCUGCAUACUUGAGCAAACAGCUUGAUUUAUAACUUAGGAGGCAUUUGAGUAAACUGUUAAUUAAUCAAGUAGUGGAUAAUUUUUGCAUUUGAUUAAACUGUUUGGAUGUUAAGCUUGGUUGAUAAUUUAAGUGGGACUUCAGUAAGUG